rnacentral:misc_RNA from 1 species
AAAAGGGAAUCUCCUGCCAGUGGAUCAUGGAACAUCCAGGAGGAAAUACGACGCGUGCGAUCAAAAGCAACUGAAGAAAUGCUAAGAACUCCAUCUGCCAAACUUGAUUGGUCUUCAUUUGCCUCAGACUACAAAAGUAAUUUGAGUUCUGUGCGUUCUGACUAUCUGAAAUUUCCCAGUGGAGAUAAAAUACAGCAUGCAGUAAA